rnacentral:rRNA from 1 species
GCAAGCUUGACAAGAAAUCGUCCGCAUUAUUCGCAUCUGAAAUGGAGCAUUCAAGUUUCCACUGUUCUGUAUUGCAUGCAAGAGUAACAGGUAACUAACACAAUAUGAACAAAAGGACAAAAAGCUGUAUGUGAAAGCGAUGAAUGUUCCUUAACAGUGUGCACAAACACUUCAGGGGGUAACUCAGCGCCUUUUUGGAAGCUGACAUCUUCAUUGAGGAUGUUAUCGCAUCAAGUGCCUGCCUUAUCAACUCUCAAUGGUAGGUUACCUGCUAACUGUGGUCGUUAUGGGUAACGGAGAAUCGGGGUUCGAUUCCGGAGAGGGAGCCUGAGAAACAGCUACCAUGUCCAAGGAAGGCAGC